rnacentral:rRNA from 1 species
AUUGAACGCUGGCGGCAGGCUUAACACAUGCAAGUCGAGCGGAGAGAGGUAGCUUGCUACUGAUCUUAGCGGCGGACGGGUGAGUAAUGCUUAGGAAUCUGCCUAUUAGUGGGGGACAACAUUUCGAAAGGAAUGCUAAUACCGCAUACGUCCUACGGGAGAAAGCAGGGGAUCUUCGGACCUUGCGCUAAUAGAUGAGCCUAAGUCGGAUUAGGUAGUUGGGGGGGUAAAGGCCUACAAAGGCGACGAUCUGUAGCGGGUCUGAGAGGAUGAUCCGCCACACUGGGACUGAGACACGGCCCAGACUCCUACGGGAGGCAGCAGUGGGGAAUAUUGGACAAUGGGCGCAAGCCUGAUCCAGCCAUGCCGCGUGUGUGAAGAAGGCCUUAUGGAUGUAAAGCACUUUAAGCGAGGAGGAGGCUACCUUAGAUAAUACCUAGAGAUAGUGGACGUUACUCGCAGAAUAAGCACCGGCUAACUCUGUGCCAGCAGCCGCCGUAAUAC